rnacentral:rRNA from 1 species
CCUACGGGUGGCAGCAGUGAGGAAUAUUGGUCAAUGGACGCAAGUCUGAACCAGCCAUGCCGCGUGCAGGAAGACGGCUCUAUGAGUUGUAAACUGCUUUUGUACGAGGGUAAACGCAGAUACGCGUAUCUGUCUGAAAGUAUCGUACGAAUAAGGAUCGGCCAACUCCGUGCCAGCAGCCGCGGUAAUACGGAGGAUUCAAGCGUUAUCCGGAUUUAUUGGGUUUAAAGGGUGCGUAGGCGGUCGGGUAAGUUAGAGGUGAAAUCCCGAGGCUCAACUUCGGAAUUGCCUCUGAUACUGGUCGGCUAGAGAGUAGUUGCGGUAGGCGGAAUGUGUGGUGUAGCGGUGAAAUGCUUAGAGAUCAUACAGAACACCGAUUGCGAAGGCAGCUUACCAAGCUACUUCUGACGUUGAAGCACGAAAGUGUGGGGAGCGAACAGGAUUAGAUACCCUUGUAGUC